rnacentral:rRNA from 1 species
AGCGGCGGACGGGUGAGUAAUGCUUAGGAAUCUGCCUAUUAGUGGGGGACAACAUUUCGAAAGGAAUGCUAAUACCGCAUACGUCCUACGGGAGAAAGCAGGGGAUCUUCGGACCUUGCGCUAAUAGAUGAGCCUAAGUCGGAUUAGCUAGUUGGUGGGGUAAAGGCCUACCAAGGCGACGAUCUGUAGCGGGUCUGAGAGGAUGAUCCGCCACACUGGGACUGAGACACGGCCCAGACUCCUACGGGAGGCAGCAGUGGGGAAUAUUGGACAAUGGGCGCAAGCCUGAUCCAGCCAUGCCGCGUGUGUGAAGAAGGCCUUAUGGUUGUAAAGCACUUUAAGCGAGGAGGAGGCUACUUUAGUUAAUACCUAGAGAUAGUGGACGUUACUCGCAGAAUAAGCACCGGCUAACUCUGUGCCAGCAGCCGCGGUAAUACAGAGGGUGCAAGCGUUAAUCGGAUUUACUGGGCGUAAAGCGCGCGUAGGCGGCUAAUUAAGUCAAAUGUGAAAUCCCCGAGCUUAACUUGGGAAUUGCAUUCGAUACUGGUUAGCUAGAGUGUGGGAGAGGAUGGUAGAAUUCCAGGUGUAGCGGUGAAAUGCGUAGAGAUCUGGAGGAAUACCGAUGGCGAAGGCAGCCAUCUGGCCUAACACUGACGCUGAGGUGCGAAAGCAUGGGGAGCAAACAGGAUUAGAUACCCUGGUAGUCCAUGCCGUAAACGAUGUCUACUAGCCGUUGGGGCCUUUGAGGCUUUAGUGGCGCAGCUAACGCGAUAAGUAGACCGCCUGGGGAGUACGGUCGCAAGACUAAAACUCAAAUGAAUUGACGGGGGCCCGCACAAGCGGUGGAGCAUGUGGUUUAAUUCGAUGCAACGCGAAGAACCUUACCUGGCCUUGACAUAGUAAGAACUUUCCAGAGAUGGAUUGGUGCCUUCGGGAACUUACAUACAGGUGCUGCAUGGCUGUCGUCAGCUCGUGUCGUGAGAUGUUGGGUUAAGUCCCGCAACGAGCGCAACCCUUUUCCUUAUUUGCCAGCGAGUAAUGUCGGGAACUUUAAGGAUACUGCCAGUGACAAACUGGAGGAAGGCGGGGACGACGUCAAGUCAUCAUGGCCCUUACGGCCAGGGCUACACACGUGCUACAAUGGUCGGUACAAAGGGUUGCUACCUAGCGAUAGGAUGCUAAUCUCAAAAAGCCGAUCGUAGUCCGGAUUGGAGUCUGCAACUCGACUCCAUGAAG